rnacentral:lncRNA from 10 species
CUUUUUUUUUUUUUUUUUUUUUUUUUUUUACAAGGUCUCACUCUGUUGCCCAGGCUCGAGUGCAAUGGCACAAUCAUGGCUCACUGCAGCCUCGACCUCCUGGGCUCAAGUGAUUCUUCCAUCUCAGCCUCACGAGUAGCUGGGACCACAGGCGCACACCACCACGCUCAGCUAGUUUUUGUAUUUUUUGUAGAGAUGGGGUCUCGCUAUAUUGCCCAGGCUGGUCUCAAACUCCUGGGCUCAAUCAGUGCUUUCACCUUGGCUUCCCAAAUUGCUGGGAUUACAGGUGUAAGCCACCAUGCACUG